rnacentral:lncRNA from 1 species
GAAGCGGAAGCAUUGUAUGGUUCGUGGAGAGUGGGGCGGAAGCAUGCUGCUUUCUAUAUCUAUAUAUAUAAAUGCUCUCGAUCAGGGUGUUUCUCACACAAUUCAAUCUCGAACCACAAGAUGAUGAUGGCGAUGGGUUUGAAGGUGGAAAACCACUACAAGUUUGUAAUGUUGGCAACUCUUCUUCUUCUCUCCACAACUCUACAGCCUCAACCUAUGUUGCGCCAGCAGGUACCCCCCACCGUCGCCGGCGGCCGCGGC